rnacentral:rRNA from 1 species
GGAUUAGAUACCCUGGUAGUCCACGCAGUAAACGAUGAUAACUGGGCGUAUGCGAUAUACAGUAUGCUCCUAAGCGAAAGCGUUAAGUUAUCCACCUGGGGAGUACGCCGGCAACGGUGAAACUCAAAGGAAUUGACGGGGGCCCGCACAAGCGGAGGAACAUGUGGUUUAAUUCGAUGAUACGCGAGGAACCUUACCCGGGAUUGAAAUGUAGAUGACCGCUCCUGAAAGGGAGUUUUCCUUCGGGACAUCUAUGUAGGUGCUGCAUGGUUGUCGUCAGCUCGUGCCG